rnacentral:rRNA from 1 species
AGUGAACGCUGGCGGUAGGCCUAACACAUGCAAGUCGAACGGCAGCACAGUAAGAGCUUGCUCUUACGGGUGGCGAGUGGCGGACGGGUGAGGAAUACAUCGGAAUCUACUUUUUCGUGGGGGAUAACGUAGGGAAACUUACGCUAAUACCGCAUACGACCUACGGGUGAAAGCAGGGGAUCUUCGGACCUUGCGCGAUUGAAUGAGCCGAUGUCGGAUUAGCUAGUUGGCGGGGUAAGGGCCCACCAAGGCGACGAUCCGUAGCUGGUCUGAGAGGAUGAUCAGCCACACUGGAACUGAGACACGGUCCAGACUCCUACGGGAGGCAGCAGUGGGGAAUAUUGGACAAUGGGCGCAAGCCUGAUCCAGCCAUACCACGUGGGUGAAGAAGGCCUUCGGGUUGUAAAGCCCUUUUGUUGGGAAAGAAAAGCAGCAGGUUAAUACCCCGCUGUUCUGACGGUACCCAAAGAAUAAGCACCGGCUAACUUCGUG